rnacentral:rRNA from 1 species
AUGACUAUUGUUGAUCUAGUAGUGCAUUAUGAGAACUGCAUAGUUCGACUACAUGAGAAUGAGGUGCAUGAUGACUGUCGUUCUAACCAGUCAAUGCCACCAGCAGUCACUGAAUACAAGGACAUUGAGAAGCCUGCUGCCAAAGUAUUCACUCAUGCCAAUUUUUAUAUUCUUCAAGAUGAUCUGAAGAAGAUGGGAGAGGUGGAGAUUUUUGAGAUGCUAGUGGGAGUUGACCGUCACACCUUGAUCGUGACAUGGAAAAUUAACCGCAAAGUUUAUUUUAGAGUUGAGUAUCGACCUGGAAACUCAGAGGAAACUAUAGAAUGCAGUUGUGGACGAAUGGUUCGUAAAGGGCUCCCUUGCAUACACAUUCAAUAUGUGCUGGUUCAUCUGAAAAUAUCGCAAAUACCUGAAUGCUGCAUCCUUAAGAGAAUGUCAAAAGUUGCGAGAGGUGGGCUGCGUGCACAGCGGAAGAGUUACAUGUUUGGCUGGGUUUGA